AUGCCUCUGUCUGCCGACGAGACCGCGCACCUGCAUCGUUUGUUGUCGAUCCCCUCUCGAACGUCGCCGUGGACCCAUGCCGGCCAUGGACGCGAAGGGCGAAGCGGAGGGAGGACGGGCGGUGCGUGCGUGCGCGUGUCGGCUCUCCGGCGAGAUGGACCGCGCAUCCGCAUUGUCGAGGCUGUCGUCGCCAUCGCGGAGCCCCAACCGCAGGCCGGCCGCGAGGGAGCUAGUCCAUGUCCGUCGAUCAAAUUCAAAGAUGGAAGAUUUGAUUGCGCGCGCCCGUGCGUGUCUCCUGCGUGCGUCCACGCUUUUCGAACAAGCGCCGGCUAG
rnacentral:rRNA from 1 species